rnacentral:rRNA from 1 species
AACGAACGCUGGCGGCAGGCUUAACACAUGCAAGUCGAGCGCCCCGCAAGGAGAGCGGCAGACGGGUGAGUAACGCGUGGGAAUCUACCCAUCUCUACGGAAUAACGCAUGGAAACGUGGGCUAGUACCGUAUACGUCCUUCGGGAGAAUGAUUUAUCGGAGAUGGAUGAGCCCUCGUUGGAUUAGCUAGUUGGUGGGGUAAAGGACUACCAAGGCGACGAUCCAUAGCUGGGCUCAGAGGAUGAUCAGCCACACUGGGACUGAGACACGGCCCAGACUCCUGCGGGAGGCAGCCGGGGGGAAUAUGGGACAAUGGGCGCAAGCCUGAUCCAGCCAUGCCGCGUGAGUGAUGAAGGCACUAGGGUUGUAAAGAUCUUUCACCGGUGAAGAUAAUGACGGUAACCGGAGAAGAAGACCCGGCUAACUUAGUGCCAGCCGCCGCAGUAACAC